AACGUAGGAGACAAACGUUAUCCGGAGUUACUGGGCGUAAAGGGCGUGUAGGUGGUAAUGUAAGUCUGGCGUGAAAGCUCUCGGCUAAACCGGGAGAGGUCGUUGGAUACUGGCGAACUAGAGGAUGGUAGAGGCGUGUGGAAUUCCGGGUGUAGUGGUGAAAUGCGUAGAGAGUCCGGAGGAACACCAGUGGCGAAGGCGACACGCUGGGCCAUACCUGACGCUAAAGCGCGACAGCAUGGGGAGCAAACGGG
rnacentral:rRNA from 1 species